rnacentral:rRNA from 1 species
CGGACUAAUACCGCAUGAAGCAGGGGCCCCCGGCAUGGGGAUAUUUGCUAAAGAUUCAUCGCUGAUAGAUAGGCAUGCGCUCCAUUAGGCAGUUGGCGGGGUAACGGCCCACCAAACCGACGAUGGAUAGGGGUUCUGAGAGGAAGGUCCCCCACAUUGGUACUGAGACACGGACCAAACUCCUACGGGAGGCAGCAUG